UACGGAGGGUGCGAGCGUUGUCCGGAAUCACUGGGCGUAAAGGGCGCGUAGGCGGCUCGGCACGUCCGUUGUGAAAUCGCCCGGCUCAACUGGGCGGGGUCGGCGGAUACGGCCGAGCUGGAGCAAGCUAGGGGGUAAUGGAAUUCCCGGUGUAGUGGUGGAAUGCGUAGAUAUCGGGAGGAACACCAGUGGCGAAGGCGGUUACCUGGAGCUUUGCUGACGCUGAUGCGCGAAAGCGUGGGGAGCGAGUCCGG
rnacentral:rRNA from 1 species